AUCAACCAGGAGACGUGUUCAGUACUGAACACGAGCUCCGUCUCGCGUUCAACCGGCAAGGUGAGGAACUGAGGAUUGUCAAGCGACAACUCCAAAACAGUCAACAACGAGUGCGGGAACUCGAACAGCACGUAGCAACUCUGCAAACAAAUCGGCAACGAGAAUCCUCCUAGACGUCACGCAGCUCUCUUAAAGGCGAUCUCAGUAAACGAUCCCAACCGCCAUCUUUGAAUCGACAGCGAAAUGGACCAAUCAGAAUAAAGCUUACAAAUGACUUAUUUUGAUUGGUUUAUUUACCAUUGAUCACCGAGAUUGGGGGCGUUCUGAAAUCGAUCGUUAAAACGCUUCACUGAUAAGGCUUAUAUUAUGAUGUCUUGCUUGAACGUGUGCGAGGCCUUGUGUUUGUCUGUGUUUCACGAAGUUUUCAUACAAUUUUUUCGAUUUAAUGUGUUUUCGAAUACUUUCGACAAUGUUACGUUAUAUGAAUCAAGACUUGUAUUUUUAAUAUGGCUCAUAUGUGAAUCGAUUUAAUUAAGACUUUUAUUUAUUAAUAAUGUGAAUAUGGAACGUACAAUGUGUAAGGAGCAGACGGUAAGAAGUAUUCAGGGCAAAA